GCAGGAGUGGCGGAACGGCAGACGCGCUGGCUUCAGGUGCCAGUGGUGGCAACAUCGUGUGGGUUCAAAUCCCAUCUCCUGCA
rnacentral:tRNA from 1 species